rnacentral:rRNA from 1 species
GCAAGUCGAGCGGAGUUUUGAAAAGCUUGCUUUUCAAAUCUUAGCGGCGGACGGGUGAGUAACACGUGGGCAACCUGCCCUUGAGACGGGGAUAACUCCGGGAAACCGGAGCUAAUACCGGAUAACACAUAUCUUCGCAUGAGGAUAUGUUAGAAGGUGGCUUUUAGCUACCACUCAAGGAUGGGCCCGCGGCGCAUUAGCUAGUUGGUGAGGUAACGGCUCACCAAGGCGACGAUGCGUAGCCGACCUGAGAGGGUGAUCGGCCACACUGGGACUGAGACACGGCCCAGACUCCUACGGGAGGCAGCAGUAGGGAAUCUUCCGCAAUGGACGAAAGUCUGACGGAGCAACGCCGCGUGAGUGAUGAAGGUUUUCGGAUCGUAAAGCUCUGUUGUUAGGGAAGAACAAGUACCUGUUAAAUAAGCAGGUACCUUGACGGUACCUAACCAGAAAGCCACGGCUAACUACGUGCCAGCAGCCGCGGUAAUACGUAGGUGGCAAGCGUUGUCCGGAAUUAUUGGGCGUAAAGCGCGCGCAGGCGGUUCCUUAAGUCUGAUGUGAAAGCCCACGGCUCAACCGUGGAGGGUCAUUGGAAACUGGGGAACUUGAGUGCAGAAGAGGAGAGCGGAAUUCCACGUGUAGCGGUGAAAUGCGUAGAGAUGUGGAGGAACACCAGUGGCGAAGGCGGCUCUCUGGUCUGUAACUGACGCUGAGGCGCGAAAGCGUGGGGAGCGAACAGGAUUAGAUACCCUGGUAGUCCACGCCGUAAACGAUGAGUGCUAAGUGUUAGAGGGUUUCCGCCCUUUAGUGCUGCAGCAAACGCAUUAA